rnacentral:rRNA from 1 species
ACACGACUACAUUAGAUACCCCCGUAGUCCUAGCCGUAAACGAUACUCGCUAGGUGUCGGCCACGGUGCGACCGUUGUCGGUGCCGUAGGGAAGCCGUGAAGCGAGCCACCUGGGAAGUACGGCCGCAAGGCUGAAACUUAAAGGAAUUGGCGGGGGAGCACCACAACGGGUGGAGCUUGCGGUUUAAUUGGAUUCAACGCCGGAAAUCUUACCGGGACCGACAGCAACAUGAAGGCCAGGCUGAAGACUUUUGCCGGAUUAGCUG